rnacentral:rRNA from 1 species
GACGAACGCUGGCGGCGUGCCUAAUACAUGCAAGUCGAGCGAGCGACGGACGGGUGAGUCAUGUCUGGGAAACUGCCUGAUGGAGGGGGCUAACUACUGGAAACGGUAGCUCAUACCGCAUACCAUCAGAUGUGCCCAGAUGGGAUUAGCUAGUAGGUGGGGUAACGGCCCACAUAGGCGACCCUCCCUAGCUUGUCUGAGAGGAUGACCAGCUAAACUGGAACUGGGACACGGUCCAGAAUCCUACGGGGGGCAGCAGUGGGGAAUAUUGCACAAUGGGCGGAAGCCUGAUGCAGCCAUUCCGGGGGGAGGAAGAAGGCCUUCGGGUUGUAAAGUACUUUCAGCGAGGAGGCGUUACCCGCAGAAGAAGCACCGGCUAACUCCGGGCCAGCAGCCGCGGUAAUAC